GCUUACGGCCAUACCACCCUGAGAACGCCCGAUCUCGUCUGAUCUCGGAAGCAGGGUCGGGCCUGGUUAGUACUUGGAUGGGAGACCGCCUGGGAAUACCAGGUGCUGUAAGCU
ensembl:rRNA 5S_rRNA 5S ribosomal RNA